UCACAGACUCGUGGCUCAGCACUGAUCAUCAUCCAAACCCACUGCUAAAAAUAAAUCAUCCACCUGCACCAAAGAUUUUCCCUGAUUUAGAUAUCUGCAACUGACCACCACCU